rnacentral:rRNA from 1 species
UCCAGACUCCUACGGGAGGCAGCAGUGAGGAAUAUUGGUCAAUGGGCGAGAGCCUGAACCAGCCAAGUCGCGUGAGGGAAGACGGUCCUAUGGAUUGUAAACCUCUUUUGUCGGGGAGCAAAAAGGCCUCGUGAGGCCACAAGUGAGAGUACCCGAAGAAAAAGCAUCGGCUAACUCCGUGCCAGCAGCCGCGGUAAUACGGAGGAUGCGAGCGUUAUCCGGAUUUAUUGGGUUUAAAGGGUGCGUAGGCGGUCGGAUAAGUUAGAGGUGAAAUCCCGAGGCUCAACUUCGGAAUUGCCUCUGAUACUGUUCGGCUAGAGAGUAGUUGCGGUAGGCGGAAUGUAUGGUGUAGCGGUGAAAUGCUUAGAGAUCAUACAGAACACCGAUUGCGAAGGCAGCUUACCAAGCUACUUCUGACGUUGAGGCACGAAAGCGUGGGGAGCAAACAGGAUUAGAUACCCCGGUAGUA